GCUGAUAAGAUGGCAGCCUGGCAACAGAGGCAGGUAGUGGGGUUGGGGGAGAACAUUUGAUGCAGAGUAAAAAUAAGAUUUGUGAUUCCAAAGGUCAUGAAUUGUUAGGAUCAUGGGAUGACUGUGUAUCAUUGGAAGAUGUAAGCUCAAGAAUAUUCAUGAAUAUGUGUUCUAUUAAACAUUGGAGAAUAUAUAAAAAACUGGAGGCCAAGAUACUUCCUUUUGAAGACAGAUGGCUCAUUCAUAGGAUAUAAAGAGAAACCUCAAGAUGUGGAUUUACCUUAUCCCCUCAACAACUUUUCAGUGGCAAAAUGCCAGUUAAUGAAAACAGAACGACCAAAGCCAAACACAUUUAUAAUCAGAUGUCUCCAGUGGACUACUGUUAUAGAGAGAACAUUUCAUGUAGAUACUCCAGAGGAAAG
rnacentral:lncRNA from 1 species